rnacentral:lncRNA from 1 species
GAAGCCCAGGAAAUCCUGCCUUGUUGCCUGCUGGCCUAUUUGUCCUGCCUGCUGGGAAUGGGAAGGUUAUCUCACCCUAAUAUGAAGACAUGUUUGCUGGGACGCUCCAUGCUCCUCCAUCAUCAAAGAGAGGAAGAACUAAUUUACAGGAUCAAUGCAACCACUAGUCCUGCAGUGGAGGACCCUUCUCCGUCUCGAUUGCCAAAAACACGCUUUCCUUUAUAAGGUGGCUCGCUGCUUUCUCAAAGUCCCCAAAGAACAGAAAACAUAUUAGAUACCUUUCAUUACAGCACCACCUGCCCUCCCUCCAACCCUGCCAAUCCUUUGUGGAAAAAGAAAGAUACCAGUAAACGCACGAUCAACGUGGCUAGGCUGGCCUGGAAGAAAGCCGGCAUCAGAGGCAUAACGAGUUCAUUCAGGAGGAGAACCUGAACUAGUAAGAGGGCAAAUUUCUUUGCCGUGCCACACAGACAGGACCCCACAGCCUACUCAUUUUCAGUCGUCUGCAAAAGCUGCCAAAUGAGGCCGCAUCACUACUGUCGGGGGAAGGAUGCUCUAGGAGCCACAGGCGAUCUGUCUUCUUGGAGGUUCUCUUCAAGCUAUGACCUCAGUUUGCUCCAGCUUCUGCCUAUCCUCACGAGUUUCAGCUUGCUCUCAUCAUCAGCUAAAUUAACCAUAAAGCAAAGGCCUGACUCACAUUACUGAAGCCUGAAAGACAUCAGCACAAGCCCGGAGCUAUGCAUCACUGUAUCAAAGGCCGUGGGCCUAGGAAGAAGUGUGGGAAUGGCCCUCAUAUUUUUAUAGCACUUGGGUAGUCUAGAACAGUCCUUUAGCCUAAGACCUUGGCGGGGAGGUUCAAGUGUGUUGUUGGAGGGCAAAGAAAAUGCCAUUUGAAAGUGAUAGAAGGAAGCAGAGUUGUUUAAGGAGUAGCAGGGUUGGGAUGGCAGGACCUAGGGCAGAGGGCGUCUCCUAAACUGAAAAAAGCACCAGGAAAAUUACCUACAGCUCUAUUUGGUGAGAUGUGAAAAAAUUAAAUUCAGACUAAGAAAUAUCUGGGAAGGUUUGAAUCUGUGACCCUGGGCAAAUUGGUCCCUCCUCUGUGUUUCCAUUUGUGAAAUGGAGGAGCAGAAGGAAGGCUUCUUCCUGCAGUAGCAUGCCAUGAUGGGAGGUAGAAGAAAAGGCCUUUGAAGCCAACAUAAUUACUCCUCUGUCCAGGGCAAUGUAAACAACAAUAACUCCAACAGCCUUCAGCCCUGCUUUUGAAUGAGUUCUUUGCUUCUGUCUGAGAGGUAAAGCAGUUCAUUCCUUGGGGAGAAGUUGAAUGUGGCAUGGUGGACCAUGCCCUUUUCACUCUGGUUUCAUUAUGUUAUUUUGAAUUAGGACUAACACACAGAACAUUCAGUAUACGUUAACAAGGUUUUACUGAGUGUCCGCCAUGCACCCAAAGCUGCAGUAGGUCCUCUAGGAAAGAGAAAAAGCGAGCAAUGUGUUCAGGGUCUUUGAGUAUCUGGAGAUUUGUCUCAGAGGCUCAGAUGUUCCAUUUUAAGGCAAACAGAAAACAAGUUGUUAUAUUUUAAAAGUCUAAUUUUUAAAAUAAAUACCGCUUCUUUUUUUUAAAAGAAGCAAAUGAGUUGGACCAGACUUACUUGUUUUUAUGCCUUUACUAAUACGUACUAUUUAUGUAUUAUUUAUCUUGUUA